UACGUAGGGGGCAAGCGUUGUCCGGAUUUAUUGGGCGUAAAGAGCGUGUAGGCGGCCAGAUAGGUCCGUUGUGAAAACUCGAGGCUCAACCUCGAGACGCCGAUGGAAACCAUCUGGCUAGAGUCCGGAAGAGGAGAGUGGAAUUCCUGGUGUAGCGGUGAAAUGCGCAGAUAUCAGGAAGAACACCAGUGGCGAAGGCGGCUCACUGGACCGGUAUUGACGCUGAGGUGCGAAAGCGUGGGGAGCAAACAGG
rnacentral:rRNA from 1 species